rnacentral:lncRNA from 1 species
UUUGAUCUUUAUCUGAAGAAGCCUAGGUAGUUUUCAUUUUGGAUCCAGGCUUUGGUCUCCAGAUCACCUCUGGGGUCUCUCUUUGUAAAAGCAGUUCUUAGAUACUCUUUUAACUCCUGUGGCUUCAGUCAUGAGUUGUUAAUGUGGCAGUAAUUAGUGUCUACUUAAAUUUAAUUGUUAGAGAUGUAUUUGAAGUACACUAAAGAUGAUCAUGGUUCUGAAUAUCUUCAGAAAAUCUUCAAAGAAAGUGAAAAUUAAAUCUUUAACAGUGCAGGGAGCUUGUACAUUGAAAAAUACAUUUAUAUGGCUUGGUUUCUUGACUAUGGCAAAACCCAAUUUGGAUUAAAUUUGACAGAAAUGAUGCAGUAGUAACAGCAAAGUUUUAAAGUAAAUUAAUGGUUACAAGUAGUUACAGAGUAGGUUGGCUUUUAACCAAGGUGAAUUUAACUGUAUCAACUAAUAGCUUUUCUAUAGUAUGUAACAAAUCUGAGUUUUAUUGUGCUGCGAAUUAUUCAGUACAAUAUGGUCAAUUACAGUGUAAACAAUGUUAGUUAUAAUCUUGGGCUUCAAAAAUCAAUGUGAUUGUCCUUUGUUUUCUUUCCCUAAGUGAUCUGCUGGUAUUUAGUUUCAGAUCCCUUAUUAUUCCAUUAAUCAUUAUUAGCUCAUUAGUUUAAAAGUUUGAUUUAAAAUAGUCUCAAAAUAAGAGUAUCAGUACUGUGAGGAAUUUAUACAGUGCAGUUUCAUGUUAGAACUAGACUAAAGGUAAUUGUGUAGUUAUUUGUAAUUUUUCAUGGUAACAGUUAACAUGUUUAAGAUUUCUAAUGUUUUAAAAAAUUACCUUUGGUACAAUUCUUAGAAAUUCAGAGAUUUCCAGGGAUUCACUACAUACAGUGUUUGCCUAAUUUAUACUGGUCUUCGUUAUGUAUUUUAAUCAACUUUAGUGUUUACUUUGUAAAACAUAUAUAUUUGAUUUGAAAUAUUACUUUGAUUCUUCAUGAGUGCAUUUUGACAAAACAUAUACUUUUACAGUCUGGACAACUUAAAUUUGUGUUAAGCAGUUUUUAUAGAAUGGUCUUUGUAAAAUGAUUUCAGACCUACAUGAUAUAGUGGAAAGAGCACUGACUAGUAAUUAUUACUCUUUGAAAUCUGAGCGCCUCACAAAUAAAACAAGUUGGAUGAA